AUGGGGACCAGCCUGGUGCUGCAAGCAGUCCAGAGCCUUUGGCUGCCUGGCCCUGGGGUGGGCCUAGAGCCUGAGUCUGUGGGGGAUAGCCUGGAGUUGGGGUUUGUCCAAAGUCUGGGGCUACUGAUCAGCUACAGUCGGGCUACUACUCCAACUGUCCUUUCUAUCUCUUUAGUGCAUCCUUUCUGAAAUCUCCUACCUGGUUUCCUUAGUUCUUGUGAAGGUGGUUUUAUGCAUGGAUAGUUGUUCCAAUUGAUGUUUCUGCAGGGGAGCAAGAGCUAGAAAGUCCUAUUCACCAUCUUCCUUACAGCCUUCUGCCCCAAGGCUGCAGUACUCUUCAAUCACAUGUUUUAUGUUACCUCUUUCUUUUCUCCAGCCAUUUGGAAAUAAUUACCAAGAGCUACUUUUUUCGGCCAGGUAUGCAAUUUUUGUGAACCAAUGCUGUUCUAACUGAUUCUAACUCAAGAGGCGAGAAAAGCCCAGAUGCCCCUAAUUGGAUCCAUGGUUGUACUGUGCUGUAUUUCCAGGACUUGUGCAAAGUUUAAUACUAUUACUCAUCAGUUUUAUUUUACCUCCUAUUUUUCUCAUUCUUUGCAUGGAUUUACAGAGGCACUUUCCUGACUUUUUCAUUGUGGGCUGUGUUGUAGUCACCUUGGAUCGAUCUCUGGCCCUUUGGUCAUUGUGUGCUUUGAGUCUGCAUGGAAAGAAAAACAUCUGCUGCUUUGACUAAAAGUUCCUCCUGGCCUUCGCUGUGAAACUCAGGUGAAACCUCCAGCCAACAGAAUUGUAACAGAGUCAUUCUAUUACACCAAGAAGCCUGUGAGCUCACAGGGGGAGGAAAUACUGCAGCAGGAUAUGCAGUUGGGAGGAUCUUCCUGCCCACAAGAAAAUACAAAAAAAGUGGAAUUAAUCAUCUUCGUCUUUUCACAGAAUUUGCUAAGAAAUUAAAUUCAAAUUAACACACUCAUAGUUUUUGCCUACCAUGUUCAAAACACUCCUGGUGCUUAUGAGAGACGUGGUCUUUUAGAGGGCACAGUUACCAUAAGGCAGCCACACCAGCAGGCUGGGUACUUACAUUAAUGAUAAACCUAUUAUGCUCUUUCCCCAUGAAAACAGAUCUGGACCCUCACCUCCCCACCUACCGCUGUCACAGGCUCCUGGAAUUUCCCUCUCUCACCCUUACCCUUCACCACUUUUGUGAAUGUUCCUCAAUCUGACUCCAUCUUCCAUCAGUCUUCUCCUCUUCAAACCCUUUCUCUGUGCUCUGUGGAAUUCCUGAUCAGUAUAGUUUCCAUAUAGACAUCCUUUACUUAAACCUUCUCUCCCAUUUCUUGCCUUAAUUGAAAAUUGGCCUCUCUCUAGUCAUCAUCCCCCCUCCAAUUCCAUAGGCCUCAUUACGACUUCCAAAUCAUUUCUUCUUUUUCUACCCUUGAAAAGCCUGGCACCUCUGAUGUUUGUACCACUUACCAGUGUCACAAUAUUACCAUAUUACCCUCUUUGUGUUAGAGCUUCCCAGAGAAACAAAGCCAAUAGGACACACACACACACGCACACACACGCACACACAUACACACACACAAGUGUAUUUAUAAUUAAAUAAGAAAUAUAUAGAUAUGACGGCCAGGCGCGGUGGCUCAC
rnacentral:lncRNA from 1 species